rnacentral:lncRNA from 1 species
UUGUGCUUGUGCAUACUGCAUACUAUCAUCAUCAGCAACGUAACUCUUAAUUACACGUGUUUUGUAGCUGGACCAAAAGACCAUCUGAUCAACGGACCAGGAAUAUUGGAUCCGGCUAAUUUAUAAGAGGAACAAAACACACAAAAAAAUAUAAAAAAAAUGUGCGAUUAAUAUGUGAUAUACGUAUUCACGUGACAAUCAACAGAGUUAAUAAUAAUAAUAAUCUCGAUAACGUACGUACGUGACGCUCCCCUAAUAAUACUGUAUUUUUUAAAAAAGAAGGUAUAUGAUGAUGUUGUCAGUGAAAAAGUAAUGUCAAUGAUCUCGGCCUAGAAGUAGCUAGCGUCUAAGAGAACCACGACGAGCCUGCACGGACCGAUCACGAGUCUCUCGACCGUGAAUAAGCCACGACUCCAAGCCUCUUUAUUAACCAACGUGGCGCUUCA